rnacentral:lncRNA from 1 species
GCAGGAUGUAGUGUCUCUGGGUGCUUAGUGGUCUCCUGGGGAAUCAGGGGAGAAACAAAGGGAGAAGUGGCAGCCGCUGCAAAUGUGGGAGUCUGUACCAUUAAAGGAAGCAGUUGCUAAUAAGGACCUGUGAGACCUAGGUUUCCUUGGUUUCCAUGACAGUUAUUAGGUACCAUAGAAAUUGCAUUGUCUCCCACAAUGCUCUUAGGGGAGAGGAAGUGCUCCAGUGACAAAGCAGUACAGUUAUGACUAGCAGUAAAUCGUCCUUUUGAGAAUGCAAUACUCCCUGGAUUAUUUGCUCUUGCAUUUUCUUUUAAACUCCCCUUUCAAGGUGCUUGACAUUUUGGCCAGAAGACCCUGGCUUCUGUUGUACAGUGUCUCAAACACUAUUUUUCCCCUUUUUAUUUAGACCUGAGCUUGGCAAAGCAAGGAUAUGAACAAUUGUGCAGGUGGGCUACUCGGGGUGAGUGAAGAGAUCAGGCAUCCAAUCAGGGAUUGGCAACCUGCAGCUGUGCCAAUAUGCCCCUCCACCAGAUUUCCGUAAUCCCAGCCCGGGAGACUGCCAGCAAUGGGAGAAGUUCAAUGGGCAGAAACAAAGAGAAGAACAAGGAAGUCGAGAAUUUCAGAAAUUGAAAAGGGAAAAGAGGAAGGAGAAAAUGCUGGGCUGGUGUGAAGCGAUAGCCCGGAACCCUCACAGAAUCCCAAACAACACAAGAACACCUGAGAUCCCAGGGGAUUUGGCUGAUGCCUCACAAACCUCCACAUUGAAUGAUAAAUCCCCAGGGCGAUCUGCUAGUCGAUCAAGUAACAUUUCAAAAGUAGGUAAAACGUAUUCGUGUUCAUGUUUAUUUUUUUCAUUAAGUUUAUUGGUACAUUUUAGUUAUACAAUAUAGUUAAUUC